UGUGCCAGCAGCCGCGGUAAUACGUAGGGUGCAAGCGUUAAUCGGAAUUACUGGGCGUAAAGCGUGCGCAGGCGGUUCGGAAAGAAAGAUGUGAAAUCCCAGAGCUUAACUUUGGAACUGCAUUUUUAACUACCGGGCUAGAGUGUGUCAGAGGGAGGUGGAAUUCCGCGUGUAGCAGUGAAAUGCGUAGAUAUGCGGAGGAACACCGAUGGCGAAGGCAGCCUCCUGGGAUAACACUGACGCUCAUGCACGAAAGCAUGGGGAGCAAACAGGAUUA
rnacentral:rRNA from 1 species